AGGAACAGAUCUUAAUCGGCUAUGUGGAAAACGGUAAGUCAAGUAACAAGUGAUAAUAAAGCCGAAAGUUCUAAUUCCGUGUUGGAUAAGUGGUGACAAAACUAGAACAACAGGUAAAACCUAGAAUUCUAGUAAAUAUCAAUAACUGGUGAAUAAAUCUAAACAAAAUGACUGUGAUGCGCCCAAAGUUAAAGCUUAGAUGUUACUCGAUAAGCAGAACUUACAGAAUCGGCCGGAGAUCAAGUUGAUGCAGCCCCGCCAACCCGUACGAACUCGUGAAAAGAAGAAAAGUAUUGGCGAAAUCGCCUGCUUGAAAGUAAAGUGCGAGGAAAUAGUAGUUUGUUGUAUUGAUUUGAUGAUGAUUACAGAUCUAUGAAGGUGGCUAUUUAUAGCCUGUUACAACAAAUCUCUUAACCGACUAGGACUCUAUCUCUAAUUUUAAAUGAAAACGAAUAUUUACAAGUAGGAUUCGUAUCGGAGUUGACUUCUAUGUUCCGUGGGCCGACCCCUUUUAAUCCUCGUGAUCUACUCUGAGCCCAUAUCAGCCCAACUAUUCCAGCCUCUCGAUCGGCCGAUUUCCAUCAACCCCCUUCGCCGAAACACUCCAGCGCCAAUCAGCCGACCCUCAGCUGUAGCACCAAUCGGCCGAUUCCCAAUCGUGACCUCCGUGUUUCGCUGCAUCACCUGAUUCCUUCCCUUCUUGACGCUGAUUCCAUACGUGUUAAAAUCUAGCGUCAACACAUGCCCCCCAGUUUCAGAGUAAAACAUAAUCUUUACUUCGAAAUUCCUUUCAACUUCCCUUCCGAAACAAACGCGUUGAAAAUAUCCUUCCAUUUCGCGGUCUUCAGCCUGAUGAUUGCAAUCUUUUCGAAACGGGCGCCCACGACAACAACUCCUCCCGAAAAAAUCAAAACGCCGGCGCGGUAAAAAUCCCGCUUUUACCCCUUCUCAGACCACCCUUAAAUACCAGCACGUCCCGGACUUCGUUUCACGAGCUCACGUCUUCCUUCUUUGGCGCACUGAUCUUCUUCUUCCUCCGACGUCUUCCUUAGCCUCCAAUUUUAUCUCCGGCAUCUCCUUCCAUCUACAUUCCAC
rnacentral:lncRNA from 1 species